UUGGAAAACGAGUGGAAGCCGCUGGCGAACAGGCGACUCCGCGGAGGGCUUGGGAUAGACUGUAUUUAUCGUCGAGGAGGGGAAGUCCAGUCAGGGUCCAAGCAGCAAGUUCAUUGGCUGGAGGAUGGGGCGGUCUUCUGUAAAUCAGGCAAUUAACGCGAGAUCAGUCAGGUCUCUCAGCUGGUUCUGAAGUGCCGCUCUUCCGAGGACGCAUGCGUAAGAGUCUCCAUUUCCUCUCCUGCGGUUCCAUUUUAGACUGAAAUCCUUUUGCACGUCCCACCUGAAAGGAGCUGCCUCUGUAUCGCCAGCUCCAACACAGUUCUAGGAACCAGGAGGAAUAAGUGUUGCAACAUGACCUGGAGAGGCUUUGGGACCACAGGGACUUUUCCUCUGACUGUUCACUAGAAGGCACCUGCCCGAGAGGAGCAAGGAAGACGCAGGUGGGCAUUCUGAGCCGGAGGGGAGAUAGGCAUCUGUGUGUGUGUGUGUGUUCACGGUGGUUGUCUCUGGAUGGUGGAUUGUGGAUGAUUUGGGUUUUCGUCUGAUGCUUUCCUGCAUUUCCUGCCACGAACAAGUAUUGCAUUUUCACUCUCAAAGGGGGAAUUAGACAUGUGAAAAUCAGAAUGUUUUAAAAUCACUUCAGAUGUUUCCUGAGCGUUUUGUUGAGUAGUGAUGGUUGAGAGGUCAUAACCUCUUCUUCGGAGGGGAUGAAGAUUUAAAUUCCCCAAGCCAGGGGCCGGCCGAGUGGCGCGAUGGUUAAG